rnacentral:rRNA from 1 species
CCUACGGGUGGCAGCAGUGAGGAAUAUUGGUCAAUGGGCGAGAGCCUGAACCAGCCAAGUAGCGUGAGGGAGUACUGCCCUAUGGGUUGUAAACCUCUUUUAUAUGGGAAUAAAAUGUUCCACGUGUGGGAUUUUGUAUGUACCAUAUGAAUAAGGAUCGGCUAACUCCGUGCCAGCAGCCGCGGUAAUACGGAGGAUCCGAGCGUUAUCCGGAUUUAUUGGGUUUAAAGGGAGCGUAGGUGGAUUGUUAAGUCAGUUGUGAAAGUUUGCGGCUCAACCGUAAAAUUGCAGUUGAAACUGGCAGUCUUGAGUACAGUAGAGGUGGGCGGAAUUCGUGGUGUAGCGGUGAAAUGCUUAGAUAUCACGAAGAACUCCGAUUGCGAAGGCAGCUCACUGGACUGCAACUGACACUGAGGCUCGAAAGUGUGGGUAUCAAACAGGAUUAGAUACCCCUGUAGUC